UACGUAGGGUGCGAACGUUGUCCGGAAUUACUGGGCGUAAAGAGCUCGUAGGUGGUUUGUCGCGUUGUCCGUGAAAACUCACAACUCAAUUGUGGGCGUGCGGGCGAUACGGGCAGACUGGAGUACUGCAGGGGAGACUGGAAUUCCUGGUGUAGCGGUGGAAUGCGCAGAUAUCAGGAGGAACACCGGUGGCGAAGGCGGGUCUCUGGGCAGUAACUGACGCUGAGGAGCGAAAGCGUGGGGAGCGAACAGG
rnacentral:rRNA from 1 species